rnacentral:rRNA from 1 species
CGGAGGAUCCAAGCGUUAUCCGGAUUCACUGGGUUUAAAGGGUGCGUAGGCGGCUCGAUAAGUCAGUGGUGAAAGCCCGCAGCUCAACUGCGGAACUGCCAUUGAAACUGCCGAGCUUGAAUAUAAUUGAAGUGGGUGGAAUACAUCAUGUAGCGGUGAAAUGCUUAGAUAUGAUGUAGAACCCCGAUUGCGAAGGCAGCUCACUAAAUUGUAAUUGACGCUGAGGCACGAAAGCGUGGGUAGCGAACAGGAUUAGAUACCCUGGUAGUCCACGCCCUAAACGAUGAAUACUCGAUGUAUGCCGCAAUUGAGCGGUAUGCGUCCAAGCGAAAGCGUUAAGUAUUCCACCUGGGGAGUACGGCCGCAAGGUUA